rfam:Carnobacterium divergens DSM 20623 NODE_8, whole genome shotgun sequence.
AUAAACGCAGUGACGAGAAAAGUACACUUGAAAUUUCAUUCUAACAGAGAGCCUGUAUGAUGCUGAAAAGGGCGAAUGAAAAGCAAGUCGAAAAUGGCCUCUGAGGCGGGAUACCGAGUGGAUUUUCCAUUAGGCUAUCAUGGGUGCACCCAUUAACGUGCUAGAGUAUCGGAAGCAUGUCUUCUCGUACUUGAUAAGGGAUUUCUUGUAAAGGAAAUCUAAAAAAAGGUGGUAACACGAACGUUAAAUUCGUCCUUUUA